UACGUAGGUGGCAAGCGUUGUCCGGAUUUAUUGGGCGUAAAGCGCGCGCAGGCGGUCUUUUAAGUCUGAUGUGAAAGCCCCCGGCUUAACCGGGGAGGGUCAUUGGAAACUGGGGAACUUGAGUGCAGAAGAGGAGAGUGGAAUUCCACGUGUAGCGGUGAAAUGCGUAGAGAUGUGGAGGAACACCAGUGGCGAAGGCGACUCUCUGGUCUGUAACUGACGCUGAGGAGCGAAAGCGUGGGGAGCGAACAGG
rnacentral:rRNA from 1 species